rnacentral:rRNA from 1 species
GGACUACAGGGGUAUCUAAUCCUGUUUGCUCCCCACGCUUUCGCUCCUCAGCGUCAGUUCCGGCCCAGAGCGCCGCCUUCGCCGCUGGUGUUCCUCCUGAUAUCUGCGCAUUUCACCGCUACACCAGGAAUUCCACGCUCCCCUACCGGACUCUAGCCACAGCAGUAUCGGGUGGCGUCUCCAGGUUGAGCCUGGAGGUUUCACACCCGACUUACCGAGCCGCCUACGAGCUCUUUACGCCCAAUAAAUCCGGACAACGCUUGCCCCCUACGUGUUACCGCGGCUGCUGGCAC